rnacentral:ncRNA from 1 species
AUAUAGAUGAGUUUGGUGAUGGCUCUGAAUGAAUGCUGUCCAAAUGCUUGACACAUGCUAAUCGUACGAUUAAUUUAAUGAAUAAUUUAAUUAAUAAGUGGUGUACAGGUGAGUAUAUGAUAUUUUCGCUACCUUAAAGUGAGGGAUAAAAUUCCACAUAAUAAUAAAGGCAUGAAAACUGCCGCUUUAGGAUGAAGAUAAAUAUCGUCGGGAUAGGUAGUAGUGAAGGUAAUGUCUUCACUAGCUUUAAAUUCUCGUAACCGUAACUGAAAGGUUGAUCGGUCACAUUGGGUCUGCAAAAAGCCCAAUGCAAAGUUAGUACAGCAGUGGGGAAUUUUGGUCAAUGGCCUAAGGGCUGAACUGGCAAUUUGG